rnacentral:rRNA from 1 species
UACGAAGGGGGCUAGCGUUGCUCGGAAUCACUGGGCGUAAAGGGCGCGUAGGCGGCCAUUCAAGUCGGAGGUGAAAGCCCAGGGCUCAACCCUGGAAUUGCCUUCGAUACUGUCUGGCUAGAGACCGGAAGAGGUAAGUGGAACUGCGAGUGUAGAGGUGAAAUUCGUAGAUAUUCGCAAGAACACCAGUGGCGAAGGCGGCUCACUGGCCCGGUACUGACGCUGAGGUGCGAAAGCGUGGGGAGCAAACAGG